AACGAACGCUGGCGGCAGGCCUAACACAUGCCAGUCGAGCGGACCCUUCGGGGUUAGCGGCGGACGGGUGAGUAACGCGUGGGAACGUGCCCUUUGCUUCGGAAUAGCCCUGGGAAACUGGGAGUAAUACCGGAUACGCCCUUUUGGGGAAAGAUUUAUCGGCGAAGGAUCGGCCCGCGUUGGAUUAGGUAGUUGGUGGGGUAAUGGCCUACCAAGCCGACGAUCCAUAGCUGGUUUGAGAGGAUGAUCAGCCACACUGGGACUGAGACACGGCCCAGACUCCUACGGGAGGCAGCAGUGGGGAAUCUUAGACAAUGGGGGAAACCCUGAUCGAGCCAUGCCGCGUGAGCGAUGAAGGCCUUAGGGUUGUAAAGCUCUUUCACCGGGGAAGAUAAUGACGGUACCCGGAGAAGAAGCCCCGGCUAACUCCGUG
rnacentral:rRNA from 1 species